ensembl:lncRNA
AGGGCAGGAGCUGGAGAAGGCAGUGCAUCUGCUCAAGGCCAAGCCUCCGUUUGUCAGCAGCUCCCUGGGAGUCCCAACUUUGAGCCUUUUCUCCCUCUCCUCUAAACAGACCAAACAGGAUUUUCUGUUGGCUAUCUGGAGGUAAAGCUUCUCCCCAGAAAUCCCCCAAGCUUCUGUCCCAUCCUGUUUUGGUAAUCCCCACUUUGGUCCGGGGCCUUUUCAAGCUUUGGAUAAUGUGUGAACAAUUGUACUGAAAUAGCCUAAAAACUGUUGAACUAGUCUUUGACCUCUGGGGCUUUGGCUUGAGUUGGGUCAACAGAACUAAGAAGGAAAACAAACUGGGGUCUCCUAAUGAGCCCCUUUCCUCAGUAAAAUGGGGAGAAAGUAACAGCUAGAGUCUCUUUCGGAGUCUUUCCUGCCCUGAGAGUGAAUCUCCCUUUUCUGUUGUUUUUCAGUUUGUUGCUCAGGAAUUUAGAACUGGGAAGGCUCUUUCAGCCUCUUGAUUUUGUCACAAAUGAGAAAACUGAGGCUGAGGGAGGUAAAGGGACUCAGUCAAAGUUACCCAGGGCUGUCCUUUGGCUCAGAACAAAUAAAAUCUAAACCCUCCUUCACAUACGGUUUUCAAAAGUUUUGUUGUCAUUGCUGCUGUUAUCACCAUUGUUCAGUGGUUUCACAUUUAACUCUCCAUGAUCCCAUUCGGAGUUCUCUUGGCAAAGAUACUGGAGAGGUUUGUCAUUUCCUUCUCCAACUCAUUUUGCAGAUAAGGAAACUGAGGCAGGGUGAAGUGACUUAUCCAGGGUCACACAGUAAGUGUCUGAGGCCAGGUUUGAACUCAAGAAGAUGAGUUUUCCUGACUCCAGGCCCAGUGCCUUUAUCCACUGCACCACCUACCUGCCCAAAGUCAUAUAAUAUUAAGCAUAUAAUGAGAGUUUAAAACCUAAACAUUUCCAAACUCAAAGCAUAAUACUCUUUCCUCAUACUGUCUUGCCCUCAUUCAUGUAUAACUUGCCUUUGAAACUAAAUGAUAAAGUUCUUGGAGGUAGGGGCCAUAGUGUCAUAUUCUUUAGUUCUAAAAAACAGCCUAAGAGAUCAUGCAGUCCGACUUUCCUCAUUUUAUAGAUUAAGAAACUGAAGUCCAGAAAAGGAAAGCAAGUUUGUCCCAAAUCACACAGAUUUAUUCACUGAGUCAGGACUGGAACCCAGGUCCCCCAAUUCCUGCCCCAAAGAGUACUCUACCUACCACAAUGUGUUGUCUCUCCUUGGAAUGAGACAUUCGGCUUGUACAGAGGAAUAGCAACAGGUCAACUGGAUCAAUAGUCAUUUUUUCUCUAAGAAAUGAACUACAGAAAUGAUAAGUCAGAGGAGUGGAAUGGGGCCAGAUUAUGGAUGGUGGUCUCCAGGGCCAUAACAGAUAGCCAGAAUUUUUUUUUCCCUUAGUCCUCUUUUCCAUGAAGAAAUCUGGUGCUUCAGACUCAGGGGACAAGAUCAAUGGGCUUGGAAUAAGGAAGACCUGGGUUCAUAUCUUGCCCCACAAACUGAUUAGCUUUGUGGCCCUGGGAAAGUCAUUUAUAAACAUCUCCGCCUCCUUUUUGUGGGUUUUAAAAUAUUGGAGUUGGGGGAACUGCAUCCAGCAGGGUAACCUAGGGGGUCCCGCCUUCCUAUUUCCUGGUGUGGGAUUGGUCUUGAGUGGACCAAUCCUGUGCUGGGGAGGGACCAUGCCCUACUUCCUGACAUGGAAUUGGUCUUGAAUUAGACCAAUCCUGUCCUAGGGAGGGGCCAUGCCCCCCCUCCACUUCGGGGAGUGACCAAUCC